UUACAACAGAGACACGAAGCGCGCGCA
rnacentral:sRNA from 1 species